rnacentral:rRNA from 1 species
GUCUAGGGCCAUACCACCCUGAACGUGCCUAAUCUCGUCUGCUUUUGGAAGCUAAGCAGGGUCAGGCCUGGUUAGUCCUUGAAU